rnacentral:rRNA from 1 species
UACGAAGGGGGCUAGCGUUGCUCGGAAUUACUGGGCGUAAAGCGCACGUAGGCGGUUUCUUAAGUCGGGGGUGAAAUCCUGGAGCUCAACUCCAGAACUGCCUUCGAUACUGGGAAACUUGAGUCCGGGAGAGGUGAGUGGAACUGCGAGUGUAGAGGUGAAAUUCGUAGAUAUUCGCAAGAACACCAGUGGCGAAGGCGGCUCACUGGCCCGGUACUGACGCUGAGGUGCGAAAGCGCGGGGAGCAAACAGG